rnacentral:lncRNA from 10 species
GGCUGGUCCAGCUGGUUUCCUGCCAAUUCUUGGAUGGGUCAUCCUAGUCCAGAGUAUCAUGGAAAAUUGUUCACACAGCUUGACUGAUUGCUUUAAGGGUUUACACUUGUCUCAACUCAGAAAUCCAAGCUCUCCCAGGACUGUUCUAACGGCAGUUCUAAAAGCCUCUUUGGUGUGUUGGAGGCCAGGUAGAGGUGAAGCUUCGCAGUGCUUGGACGUAUACUCAACCAUACGGAGAAUAUCAGCCUGUAGCAGGUAAAUAAGAGCCCAGCACAGAAGAAAAGGCAGAGCUACAAGAAGACAGUGCCACAUUAUUUUCAUUGGAAUCUAUGUACGCAUCUAUGCCUGAGCCAGAAGAGGUGAAGCAAAGUUGCUGACUUCAGCCUCAAGCCGAUAAGGAGGAAAAGAGCUUGGCAGUUUAAAGAUGCUCAAUGACUGUAGGAAGAAGAUACUGGAUUUUCAAAAUAACAUUUGAUGAAAGCAAUUGCCAUGCAGUGAUGAGAACAGGUUUGGGAGGCUCAAGACCUGGUGUGACAUCCUGACUCCAAUUGGUUCAUAUGAGGAGACAAGGAGAAGAUGUCCAUCUGGAAACCUUCAGGAAGUGGAUCUUCACCAGACACCAGAUCUGCUGGUACUUUGUUCUGGACUUCUCAGUCUCCAGAACUGUGAGAAAUAAGUGUCUGUUGUUUAAGCCAUUCAAUCAAUAGCAUUUUGUCAUAUCAUCCUAAACUGUCUCGUGGUGUUUGUAUUGUUUCAACCUAAAGCCCUGAAUGAUGUGAAUGGUUAACCAUUUAUAAACUACUGAAGUUGACUCAGCACAUUAUCUUGUACAUGGUGGACCACUCAUACCAGAGGUUAGUAGGUUUUUCCAGUUAAACCUUCUAAUCAUGCAGUAAACAUUGUCUGCGCACCAAUAAGUGCCAGGUACUCUUCUCGGUGCUGGGGAUGCAAAAUGACACAAACCUCAGUCUUGCCCAGGAGCUCAUCAUCUCCUAAAAAUAAACAAACAAAAAAGCAAAUCUAUACAUUUGUGUGUUAGUACUAAAACAGAGGUAUGGUCCAGGAUUUAUGUAAACUGAUGACCUUAGUUCUUUGUUGGUUACACACAUUGAAAAUAUAUUCUUACAGUUUAUGGUCUUUUGUUUCACUUUUUAAGGUGUCUUUUAUGUAGAGUUCAUUAUGUUGUAUGUAUUUAUAAUCCAGGAUUAUUAAAAUGCUUGCCUAUAUGUUUUUUGCCUAAAUGUUUUAGGUUUUCUCUAUAUUAAAAAAUUAAUUUAGCAAAUGUUUUCUUGAAUCUAUUGAAGUGAUUUUAUGGUUCUUCUCCUUUAAUGGACUAAUGAAGAUAAUUACUUUAAAAGAUUUUUAAAUAUUAAACUAUACCAGCAUUCCUGGCAUACACCCAAAUGAGUCCUGAAUCUUUCAUAUAUUACUGGAAUCAAUUUGUUAAUAUUUUGUUUAAAAUUUUUACAACUAUGUCCAUAACUUGAAUUGUUGUAUAAUUUUCAUUUAUCAUCUGUCUUGGCUUGGUUUGAUACCAAGAUUAUCUCAGCUUCAUAAAAUAAGUUCAAGUGAAUCAUCUGUUUCCAAGUUCUCUGGAACAGUUUGUGUAAGUGUGGAAUAGUUCUUAUCUUAUUUCCUGAAACUUGACUCUAAAACCUUCCGAGUAAGUUGCCAUUUUUGUGAGUAGAUUCAGCCAUUUCUCUCUUAAGAAUCAUUGUAUCUCUGCUAUAAUUACAUAUUGAAUAUAAAAAGCAUUAAUUGCACCACUUACUAUACACCUCCCCACUGCUCUUAUUCUUCAUUCUAGUUCUUCUCUCAGCAAUUCACCUUCCUUAUGUGUUUUUCAGAAAUAGCCAUUUUCAGGAGAAUGGUGUGAACCUGGGAGGCGGAGCUUGCAGUGAGCCAAGAUCAGGCCACUGCACUCCAGCCCGGGCGACAGAGCAAGACUCCAUCUCAAAAACAAAACAAAAUAAAAACAAAACAAAAACAAACAAACAAAAACAAAACCAGAAAUAGCCAUUUUAUGUACUGUCUGAAGUGAUCUCAUCCAAACUUGUUUUUUUCUAUACAACUAAAGAAACUGAGAGAAUGGAGCAUAUCUGGGUUCAGGAAAUGACCCUUCAAUAUAUUCAGGGCACUGAUGGUUCCCAUCUUACAGAACACAUGCACUAUCCAAUUCCUGAGUGUCCAUUGAGAGAAUAUAAGGUCUUUUCUGCAAAAUCAUUUGCCAAUAUUCAAAGAGCACUUCUUAUACACAGGCUCAGAGCCAGGAUCUGGGAUGAGUAAAGAAGGUACAUGAUCCUCCUCCACCAUUAGCCUUCAAUGUUUCACAGUGUAUUAGUUCAUUCUCACAUUGCUAUAAAGAUAGUACCUGAGACUGGGUAAUUUAUAAAUAAAAGAGAUUUAAUUGACUCACAGUUCUGCAUGGCUGGGGAAGCCUCAGGAAACUUAUAAUCAUGGCAUAGCACAAAGGAGAAGCAAGGAGCUACUUCACAAGGCAGCAGGAGAAAGAGUGAGUGCACAGAGGAAACUGCCAUUUUUAAAACCAUCAGGUCUCACAAGAACUUCUUCACUAUCAUAAGAAUGGCAAGGGGGAAACCACUCCCAUCAUCCAAUCACCUACCACUAGGUUCCUCCAUUGACACAUGGAGAUUACAAUUUGAGAUGAGACUUGAGUGGACACGGAUCCAAACCAUAUCAUUCUGCCCUUGACCCCUCCAAAAUCUCAUUUUUUUUUUCACAUUUGAAAACCAAUCAUGCCUUCCCAACAGUCCCUCAAGAUCUUAACUCAAGCCAGGAUUAACUCAAAAGUCUAAGUCCAAAGUCUCAUCUGAGACAAGGAGAGUCCUUUCCACCUAUGGGCCUGUAAAAUCAAAAGCAAGUUAGUUACUUCCAAGAUACAAUGGGGGUACAGGCAUAGGGUAAAUGUUCCCUUUCCAAGUGGGAGAAAUUGGCCAAAACAAAGGAGCCAGAGGCCCCGUGCAAGUCUGAAACUCAGCCAGGCAGUCAUUAUGUCUUAAAGCUCCCAAAUCUCCUUGGAUUUCAUGUCUCACAUCCAGGGCACACUGAUGCGAGGGGUGGACUCCCAAGACCUUGGGAAGCUCUGCCUCUGUGGCUCUGGAGGGUACAGCCCCUGCAGCUGCCUUCAUGGUCUGGUAUUGAAUGCCUGUGGCUUUUCCAAGCACAUGGUGCAAGCUGUCGGUGGAUCUACCAUCCUGGGGUCUGCAGUAUGGCAGACUUCUCACAGCUCCACUAGGCAGUGCCCCCAUGCAACCUCAAUAUUGGGGCUCCAACCCCACAUUUCCCCUUUGUAAUGCCCUAGCAGAGGUUCUCCAUGAGGGCUCCACCCCUCCAGCAGACAUUUGCCUGAACAUCCGGGCAUUUUUAUACAUCCUCUGAAAUCUAGGCAGAGGUUUCCAAAGCUCAACUCUUGUCUUCUGUGCACCCACAGGCGCAACAUCACAUGGAAGCCACCAAGGCUUGGGGCUUACACCCUCUGAAGCAACGGCCUGAGCUGUAUCUUGGCCCCUUUUAGCCAUGGCUGCAGCUGGAGUGGCUGGGGUGCAGGGCACCAAGCUCCAAAGCUGCACAGAGAGGAAGGGCCCUGGGCCCAACCCACAAAGCCAUUUUUCCGUGCUAAGCCUCUGGGCCUGUGAUAAGAGGGGCUUCUGUUAAGAUCUCUGACAUGCUCUGGAGAGAUUUUCCCCAUUGACUUGGCUAUUAACAUUUGGCUCCUUAUUACUUAUGCAAAUUUCUGCAACCAGCUUGAAUUCCUCCCCAGAAAAUGAGUUUUUUCUUUAUAGUCAGGCUGCAUAUUUCCCAAACCUUUAUACUCUGCUUCGCUUUUAAACAUAAGUUCCAAUUUGAAACCAUCUUUUUUUGAAUGCAUAUAACUGAAAACAUUCAGAACAAUACAGCUCACUUCUUGAAUGCUUCGCUGCUUAGAGAUUUCUUUUGCCAGAUACCCUAAAUUAUCUAUCUCAAGUUCAAAUUUCCACAGAUCUGUAGGGCCGGGGCAAAAUGCUGCCAUUCUCUUUGGUAAAGCAUAACAAGAAUUACCUUUAUUCCAUUUCUCAACAACUUCCUCAUCUCCAUCUGACACCACCUCAGCCUUGACUUCAUUGUCCAUAUCACUAUUAACAGUUUGGUCAAAACCAUUCAACAAGUCUGAAGAAGUUCCAUACUUUCCUAUACCUUCCUGUCUUCUUCUCAGCCCUCCAAACCGUUCGAACGUCUGCCUGUCACUUGGUUCCAAAUUUGCUUCCACAUUUUCAGGUUAUCUUUAUAGCAGUAUCCUACUCCUGUUACCAAUUCUCUGUAUUAAUUCAUUUUCACACUGCUAUAAAGAUACUACCUGAGAAUAGGUAAUUUACAAAUACAAGAGGCUUAACUGACUCACAGUUCUGCAUGGCUGGGGAAGCCUCAGAAAACUUGCAAUCAUGGCAGAAGGCAAAGGAGAAGCAAGAACCUUCUUCACAAGGCAACAGGAGAGAAAGAGAGAGCACAGGGAAAACUGCUAUUUUUUAAACCAUCAGAUCUCAUGAGAGCUUUCAUAUUAUCAUAAGAACAGCAUGGAGGAAACCGCCCCCAUGAUCUAAUCACUUCCCAUAAUGACCCUCCCUGGACACGUAGGAAUUACAUUUCAAGAUGAGAUUUGGGUGGGGAUACAGAGCCAACCCAAACCAUAUCACACAUAUUUUUGGGAAGUGGACAGUUGAUACACCAAUAAUUAAAGCAAUAAGAUAAAUGCAGAGACAGGAACCAGGCAACCCAGAAGAGGCAAUAUCUCAAUGCCUAGGGAUGAGAGAAUGAAAUUGAGGAGUCAAUUUGUCCUCUAGAUAUUGGUUACCAACUUUUUGCCUAGGACUAUUACAUUUUUAGCACUAUACAUUCUUUAACCCAGAAGCUCCUUCAGUUCCUGGCAAACUAGGUCAAUUGGUCACUCUAUCUAGACCUUCAGUGCCUAGCACAAACUUGUCCAACUUGUAGCCCGUGUGCUGCAUGUGGCCCAGGAUGGCUUCGGGUGUGGCCCAACACAAAUUCAUAAACUUUCUUGAAAGUUUAUGUGGUCUUUUUUUGUAAUUUUUUUUAACUCACUAGCUAUCUUUAGUGUUAAUAUAUGUUACGUGUGGCCCAAGACAGUUCUUCUUCUUCCAAUGUGGCCCAUGGAAACCAAAAGAUUGAACGCCCCGGCCUACCACUAUAUAUGGCACAAAGAUGGAAUCCAAAGGGUAUACUUAAUUAGUUGACAUAUGAUCUGAGUAAUCAUGAACAGUAAGUUUUAACCAAGCAUAUGGAAAAGGGAUUGCAAGGCUGUCUGGAGGAACAAUGCAGGCAGAAUUACUAAAGAACAUGGACAUGGUUUGAAAUUGUAAGUCAUCCUAUGUGAUGGAAGGAGCAGUGAGUACAGGAAAAGAGUUGGUGAUAAGACUGCAGAAAUAGACAUGGUUCAGAUGGUAAAAGUCAGGUUGAGGAGUAAGGGCUUUAUUUUAUCCUAUAGUCAAUAAGAGGAUUAAUAGAGAGGCAUUAACAGAGUCAGCUAGCUCUGAGAUAAUAUGAGCAUAGUAGGGAAGAAUCCAAAUUUCUUUACGUGUUUGUAUAUAGAGGCAUCUUUGUAUAUAUUUGCAUUUUGUAUAUUCAGGCAUUGGAAGAAUUGUCUGCCUGUUUCUGUUUCUGUUUUUGUUUUUAAUCAGGACCCCAUGUGUGACAGAAGAAAAAGUCUCAAGUUGGAGUUAAAAUUCUCCUGCAUCCUGAUCAGAUUCUGCUGCAUUCUCCAUGUGACCUCAGGCAAGUAUCUAUAUUUCUCCAGCCUUAGGAAUUCUAAAAGGGAAUUCUUAAAUUUUAAAAGGGAAACAGUGAUAUCUAUUUCUAAGUCUUUUGUAGAAGACUGUGAGAAAAUACCUACAGACAAGCUCUGAAAAAUGUCAGGCAACACAGAAAUCUAGGUUUGGAAUUUGUAGUUGGAAUGACUAAUAGAUUGUAUGGCUAGUGGUGUAAGAGAAAAAUGACUGAAAAAAAGGAACUACAUUCAUUAGCAAUUAAAGCUACUCUUGAAUUGGCUGUGCAACUUCAACAAAGCUGUAUAAUAGUCCUAUAACUUUAGAUAACAACAGUACAGCUUGUCACAAUUAAUGUUAAUUAUAGAUAACUGAUACAUGAUAUGGAUUGGCCUAUGAUCCCAAUACAAAAAAGAGCCACAUUUUACCUGACAUGGAAGUUGAACUAACUUACAAAAGAAUUAACAGUCCAUGGGUCUGAUAUAAUAUAUUUAAUUAAAUGGUGCCUAUCAAAACCUCUGCUACUGAAUUCCAAUAAGGGUCUCCCCUGCUCCCUGUGUUAGCCUUUAUCGCUCUGGCUGUCAGCACUGUGAACAUUCCAUUGUUUCUAUUUGCUUUGAGAUACAAACUUCUGGGUGCGUGGGGGCUGCAAGUGUUAUUUUCAGUUAUGUAUCUCCAAAUACUGCAAUCACCUUACAUCUGGCCUAUUUCCAUGACAUCUGCUCUAAGACCCCAGUGGCACAAUGGUCAUGGCUUGUUUGUUAAGACAUUCUGGGUCACUUUGGUUUAUUUAUCUUUUUAUUAAGGUAAAGUUAGAAAUUAUACCGUGUCUGUCUCAAUGAACAGAAUGUUUGUAUUCCUCACCACCAAAUUCAUAUAUGUUGAAUCCUUAAUCCCAAUGUGAUGAUAUUCAGAGGUGGGGCCUUUGGCUGGUAAUUAGGUCACAAGGGUAGAGCCCUCAUCAGUGGGAUUAGUACUCUCAUAAGGAGAGGCUGAGGAGUUAGAUAGCUCUCUUUCCUUCCUUCCAUGUGGGGCUACAAGAAGGUGGCCAUCUGUGAUCUGGAAGAGGGCCCUCAUGACAAUCUGACCAUGCUGGUAUGCUGACCUUGGAUUUCCAGCCUGUAGAGCUGUGAGAAACAGAUAUCUGUUGUUUAUAAGCCAUUCAGUCUAUGAGACUUUGUUACAGCAGCCCACACUGGUUAAGACAUCCGUAAACAUAGCUCACUAUGAAUAGCAGAACUCAAAAUAAGCACGUGGACCACAGAGGUCAUAUGAGUUGAGGAUCCCUGCAUCUUGUGUGUCUUAGGUUUUGGUCUCAGGUCUGCUGUUAACUGCCGGUAUAACCCCAGGUCAAGUCCAGGUGUAAGAAGGAGACAGUCAAAUGGAGCACAAGAUAGGCCCAAGGAUUUGGGAUGCUCAAGUUGUGGGUCAGAGGCUGAUGAUACAAACAGGAAUCGGGAAGACACAAAGUAAUAUGGAGCAGGGCUGGACAGCAGUAUAGCUCUAGAAGACUGACAGUCACCAGCACACCCAUGGGAAAGGAGAGGUCAGAGAGGGCCAAUGGACCUGCUGGGUAAACAAUCAGGAUUUGAAGAUUCAAAACAAAUAAAGAAGAUGAUUGUAAAUACUGAACUAGAGUUCACAGAGAAGCUGUGCAGUGCACUGGAAUAAAUACUACAUUCUGGCUUCAACUCUGUUCCUGACUACUCUUAGGCUGUUAUGCAAAUCAUUUUCUCUGUAUAAGCCCCAGUUUCUUCCUAGGAUAACUUCCUCCAUUACAGAGGCUUUUGUGAAGCUCAAGUGAAAAAAUGUAUGUGGACAUGCUUUGGAAAUUACAAAAUGCCUAAUAAAGGUGAGAAGUUGGUAUUAUUUUGCUCACCGAAGACAUUGGAAAUAAAGUGAUCGUGAAAAAAUGUCAAGAUGCCCCUGAUAUUUUUAAGUACUCAUUCACCUGUCUGCCUCCACUAAUGGGUUAUAUGCUCUUAGAUUAUCGAGAUGUCAAUGUGUUCUCUGUAUACUCCUUGUAACUAUCUCAUUAGCUGAUUCCUUGUGGUCUACUAAGUAUUAAAGCAAUCAAUAAAAUAAUUGCAAACAACCUUAGUGCUGGCCUCUAUGUAAUCCAAUUUCCCAAUGACAGUGGUUUUAUAGCUAGAUCCCUUCCCCCCACCCUCCUUAUAGUUGGGACUCCAGCCUUUCUGAGAGAAAAAUCUAAUGAUACAAUUCAGUUUAAAAAUUCUCUUAAGCUCACUAAAGUCUAGAAGAACGAAAGCAUGAUAUUCAACACUGUUCAACAUAUUCUGUCUUCUCCCUACCUUUCCCAUCUUGUCUUCCACAAAGGCACACAGAGCCACCAAAUUCUAGAAAUGCUCCAUGCUCUUUUUAAGUCUUAAAAGCUUCACUGCUAUUCCUUGCACCUGGGAUUUUCUUGCCAUUUCUGACUCUACCUCUACCAAGUAAACUACAGUUUACUCAAACAGUCAAAGUUCACUCUACCUCUACCAAGUAAACUGCAGUUUACUCAAACAGUCAAAGUUCACACAUCUAUUUUCCUCACUAGCCCAAGACACAGUUUCACAAUCUUGUCUCUGCUGGAAACCACCACAUCUCAUGGAAUGAUGGGUGUGUGAGUGUUCUCGUGGCUAAAAUUACUUGUGUUUAUUUCUUAUGACCAGCACCUACUGGCAGUGCUUAGAAAGAGAAAACAUGCUCAAUAUAUGUUUAAUGCAAAGAUAGAAGAAAGAAUAUUACUUUUUCCAGUUGUAGUACAGGAGAUAUUCCUGGGAGGACAUCUGGGAAAGCAUUUCCUAUGGGUCUUUACACAAUGAUCCCCAUGGAGUAGAAGGAAAAAAACAUAUAAUAAUAUUUCAAGCUUCUCAAUUUUGCCCAGCCUUCAAGAGCUUAUUUCCUAUGGAACAUUGACUGUAUGGAGUUAAAUUAGAUUUUAUCAAAUAGUAAUUUGUCACAUAUGUAAUACAUGAAGGUGUGUGAUUGAUGUGGAAUCUUGAAAAAUCAUUCUAAUAUGUCAGAAGGACAAAUGGAUUAAUGAGAGGUAUAAUUUAUGGUCGUAGAUGCGGCUCUGUAUUAAGUUGGCAAAAUCAAAGCCUCACUUAAAGGUAAUCUACCUCACUCCAUUCUUAACUAAAGUGUCAUUGCCAGUAAGACCAGCAUAGUGGAAACAGCUCAAUUGUGUUGAAUUCAAGCUACUUAAUCGGCUUCCUUUGACUGAUUCUUCAGAGCAUUUGUUACUAUACUUGAUAAAUAUGUGACCCUGGAUGUUUUAUCACUUUAAUUUUUAUAUCACUAGAAAUAAAGUGUAUUUUAAUUUUUAAUAUUUAGGGCCAGGCUCACGUGUGUAAUCCCAGCACUUUGGGAGGCCAAGGCAGGUGGAUCACCUAAGGUCAGAAAUUUGAGACCAGCCUGGCUAACAUGGUGAAAUCCUGUCUCUACCAAAAAGUACAAAAAUUAGCUAGGUGUGGUGGUGCAUUCUUAUAGUCCCAGCCACUAGGGAACUUGAUGUGGGAGAAUUGCUUGAACCCAGGAGGAGGAGGCUGCAGUGAGCCUAGAUCGCACUACUGUACUUCAGCCUGGGCGACAGUGUGAGACACUGUCUCAAAUAAUAGUAAUAAAUAAUAAUAAUAAUGUUUAGUUUUAAUAUAACUAGAAAUGAAACUUCCCUUAGAACAUAAAUGUAUCUUUUCGCUGCCUUUUUUUUCCAUUUUAAGUCUAUAAGUUACUGCCAUGAACUAAAUUGUGUCUCUCCUAAAUUCAUAUGUUGAACCUCUAGCUCUCUGUGUGACUUUUUUGAAGAUAAAGUUUUUUUCUUUUUCUUUUUUGAUUUUUGUAGGUACAGUCUUUAAGAAGGUGAGGUAAAAUGAGGUCAUAAAAGUAGGUCCCUAACUGAGUAGAACUGGUGUUCUUAGAAGAAGAGGAAGAGAUACUAGAGCUCUCUCUCUCCCUAGUGUGCACACAGCAAAGGUCAGACAGAGUGGCCUCAUCAGACACCAACUCUGAAGGCACCUUGUUCUUGAACUUCUGACUUCCAGAACCGUGAGAAAAUAAAUUUCUGUUGUUUAACCCACUCAGUCUAUGGUAUUCUCUUAUGACAGAGUAAGUACACCAAUAUAGUUACAUAGAGUGGAAUACACAGAAUUUAAAUUUACAUUGCAAUAUGUUUUAACAUAUGCAUAUACUCAUAUAACCUCUCCCCAGUCAGAAGAGAACAUUUGCAACAUCUCGGAAAGCCUGGACUCUCUGCCACAUCCCAAGGCAGUCUGGCUUCAAACUCCCACCCAGGGGCAACUGCUACUCUGAUUUCUAUCUCCAUAAAUUAAGCUUUGCCUAUAAUAGAAUUUCAAAUAAAUGAAAUCUUACAAUACGUACUGUUUUGGUCAGAAUGUAUUAGCUCAACAUCACGUUUUUAAGAUUCACCCAUGUCAUUUCAUUCAUACAAAUAUUGAUAUUCCUGAAUGGUAUUUCAUUUUAUAAAUAUAUCAUCCUUUAUUUAUUCAUUGUCUUGUUAAUAGAUAUUUGAAUUAUUUUUAGUUUUAUUUUUAUAUUAUGAAUAAAGCUGCUCUGAACAUUCU